UAAAAAUCAAUCUGGGACUCUCAGAAAGAUUUUAAAUUAUCAAAAUAAUAAAGAUCGAAGAAACAAAAUAUCUUAAUAAUAAGAAUUGUUUUCUAGGCUCGAGCGAUUCAUUUCACAUGAUAUAUUAUAUAGAUAUUAUUAUAUCGACAUGUUUCGACAAAGAUAAAUUAUAUCAUCAUUAUUUUAUGUAAUUGCUUCUAUCAUUAUUAGUAUAUUAAACGUCUAUAUCGGUCAGAGGAAGAUGGAUUAAUGUGACCCGAAAAGCGCGAUUCCAUAUUCCGUUUCGCUUCAAAGAUAUUAUAUCGCGCGUGCUCGACGUCGCAGCGUCUGACGAAAAUUUGAUUUUUCUGUCGUGUUACUCAAAGGCCUGCACGCCAUGGGGUCAACCACCCUCGUAGCUCGCGUGCCACCCCGUGGAACCUGCUACAUCGACCCAUAUUAUUAAAUCGUAUUUCGAUGAAUUUUGUCUAUAAUUCUUCAUACUUGUGAUUUUUCGUGAAAAAUUCUCUUUGUAUUUCACUAUUUGCAAUAUCUAAUAGUUAUAAUAAUUAUAAGACUGAUAGAUGCCAAUAGAGUUAGAUACUAUAUAUUAUUUCAAAAGAAACGAUACUAAAAAUGGAUAGAUGUUAUAUCUAUUUCGAAUAUUUCAAACCAUGCUUUUGAAAAAUAAUUGCUAAAUUGAUAAAAGCGAUGUGAAUCAAAGGGAAUCGAGUACAAUAGUUUCGAAAUUUAUAAGGAAGAUAUUGUCAUCUAGUGUUUCAUCUCUUUUUUAAAUUUAUGACUGGAAUUCUUUGAAAAAAUUUUUAUUGUUUCACUUUAUAUUUUAGGAAGUUAUAAAAUCAUUCAGAAUUUAACAAAUAAAUAUUAAUUAAUAUUUCAAGUCAGAAAUCAAUCAAAUAUAACAUGAUCGAUGAUUGAUUGUUGUUUGUAAAAAUUUAUAUCGAAAAAUACAAACAUCAAAAAUAAAUCAAAUUACAAUUGAUUUACAUUGCUCAACGUAUUGUAUACAUGAUUGACAUACUGUUUGACAAACUCAUGUUGGAAGUUAUUUUACAAUGAAUCUGACUUUGAAACAAACAAAUAUUAAUAUAUCAUUUAAAUCUAGAAUAUCAUUUAAAACUAUUAAAUAAAAAAUAUAGUAUAGAGAAACUAUAUUCAUAGAACUAUAUUCUGAGAUAAAUAUUAUGUGAUAUUUAGGAAGAAAAAGCAGAAAUGCCAUCUCGAAGAUUGAGAAACGGAAGUCAUGAGCCACAAUCGUAGGAAGAUAUCUGUUCCUCACUUUUGUCGAGAACUUCGCCGACAGUUUGGAGUAGUUGAAAACGAAUGAAACAGGGACGCUCGUGUAAAUUUAUGGAAAAUCUUUCUUCCCCUGGUGCGUUUUCCAUCCGGCGACGGAUACGUUUCUCUUCCAAACAAACUUCAUCUUGCGUCGAACGGAAUUUCACUCCAGACGCGUCGUGAAAUAUUUUCAAGCAGCAGAAACAAUAGCUGGGGACCCAAUUACCAGAGUUCGUGUUGCGUCGAGAGUGCUCAGACAGGCGUUUCCUCAAGGCUUCUCCUUCGCCGACUACCUACCCUACCGACGCAUGUAAGAGCAAUAUGUGUAUGCCAGUUAAGUUUCGCACGUUCUCGACAUCACCAAUAUACUUAUAGGGUGUUCGGAUAAAAUAGUUGAAUAUAUUAUAAUCAUUGUCAUUAUUAAAUUUAAAAAUAUUCCAAGCCAUGUCAGUAGCCGAAGGUAAUUAAGAAAAAUAAAUAUUAUAAAACAAAGAAUAUUCAUGUUGUUUUAUUUGAUUGUACGUAUGGCAAAAGUAGUUAUAUUCAUCUUAAUUUACGGAAAAAUGGAAAAUGAUAAAAAAAUAAUGUAUAAAGUGAUAUAUAAAUAGAAAUUAUGAAAAGAAAAAAAUUAAACUGAAAGAAAAGAAAAAAUUAAAUAUUCACCGGUUGACUGAAGCAAAAAAAGCAGCAAUAAAGUGAUGGAAAGAAGAGUAGAAGGGUAGGGAGGAAUAACAGACAAAAGAGGAAGCGAAGAAAAACUAGAUAAGAGAUAUAACGACACGAGGAAAACCGUUUCCUUUAAAAAAGAUUGAAAAUGAAGGGAAAAAUACGACUAAUGACAAAUUAAAACCGGAAACAGGAAAUAUUCUGUAUGCAAUAAUAAAAGCGUAAUUCACAAUCGUUAUCGAUAUAAACAUCUUCAUUAACCCCCAAAUAUUUAUUUGAGAAUAUUAUAUAAAUCAGUUUUAUUCAUUCAAUCUUUUUUUAAUGAUUAUAUUAUAUAUAAAAAAAUUGUGAAAUUAAAAAAAAAGAACAUUCAUUUAAAUAAACAUACACGUACGUUAACACAUUAACACAUUAUGCACAUCAAUUACUUUGCAAAAUGUCGAAACUCGUAAAACUUGACCCAAAUCAAGAUGAAAGAUUAUAAAAAUUUUAUGUUCGUGAACACUCGUAUAAUAUUAACGUUCCCGAAACACGUGCUAUUUUCUCCUCUUGGUUUCGUUAGCCUGCACCUGCCGGUAUAAUAAUUGGAGGAAGCACAUUCGUGUUUUCAAAUGAAAAAAAAAAAAAAAAAAAAAAAAAGAGAAGAACAAACUUGCUGAGCACCGCUGCGCAAACUGCUUUCCAGACGUCUCGAAAACGAACGACAAUCGAAUUGCUCGAAAGCAACGAGAUAUCCGUCUUGAUUCCAUAGUAAUAAGUUGCAGUGCCCUCGACAUCUGCAACGAAAGAUGUUGUGCCAGGCGAUCGUGCUUCUUGUCGAGAACUACGAGGAGCACGAUACUUUUGGAGUGGGGUAAGUAGUAGAUGGUG